GUGCGGGUCCUGCGCAAUGAACAACUGUGAACCAUGUCAGGCGGGGAACCGAGCAGCAUUAAGCAGUUUGCUUCGUGUGACGCAGUUUCGCCUGCACGCC
rnacentral:SRP_RNA from 1 species